rnacentral:rRNA from 1 species
CCUACGGGGGGCAGCAGUGGGGAAUAUUGGACAAUGGGGGCAACCCUGAUCCAGCCAUGCCGCGUGUGUGAAGAAGGCCCUCGGGUUGUAAUGCACUUUCAGUGAGGAAGAACGCCUGGUGGUUAAUACCCAUCAGGAAAGACAUCACUCACAGAAGAAGCACCGGCUAACUCCGUGCCAGCAGCCGCGGUAAUACGGAGGGUGCGAGCGUUAAUCGGAAUUACUGGGCGUAAAGCGCGCGUAGGUGGCUUGAUAAGCCGGUUGUGAAAGCCCCGGGCUCAACCUGGGAACGGCAUCCGGAACUGUCAAGCUAGAGUGCAGGAGAGGAAGGUAGAAUUCCCGGUGUAGCGGUGAAAUGCGUAGAGAUCGGGAGGAAUACCAGUGGCGAAGGCGGCCUUCUGGACUGACACUGACACUGAGGUGCGAAAGCGUGGGUAGCAAACAGGAUUAGAUACCCUAGUAGUC